GUGACGAGUGGCGGACGGGUGAGUAAUGUCUGGGGAUCUGCCCGAUGGAGGGGGAUAACCACUGGAAACGGUGGCUAAUACCGCAUAACGUCGCAAGACCAAAGUGGGGGACCUUCGGGCCUCACACCAUCGGAUGAACCCAGAUGGGAUUAGCUAGUAGGUGGGGUAACGGCUCACCUAGGCGACGAUCCCUAGCUGGUCUGAGAGGAUGACCAGCCACACUGGAACUGAGACACGGUCCAGACUCCUACGGGAGGCAGCAGUGGGGAAUAUUGCACAAUGGGCGCAAGCCUGAUGCAGCCAUGCCGCGUGUAUGAAGAAGGCCUUCGGGUUGUAAAGUACUUUCAGCGGGGAGGAAGGGGACGAGGUUAAUAACCUCGUUCAUUGACGUUACCCGCAGAAGAAGCACCGGCUAACUCCGUGCCAGCAGCCGCGGUAAUACGGAGGGUGCAAGCGUUAAUCGGAAUUACUGGGCGUAAAGCGCACGCAGGCGGUCUGUUAAGUCAGAUGUGAAAUCCCCGGGCUUAACCUGGGAACUGCAUUUGAAACUGGCAGGCUUGAGUCUUGUAGAGGGGGGUAGAAUUCCAGGUGUAGCGGUGAAAUGCGUAGAGAUCUGGAGGAAUACCGGUGGCGAAGGCGGCCCCCUGGACAAAGACUGACGCUCAGGUGCGAAAGCGUGGGGAGCAAACAGGAUUA
rnacentral:rRNA from 1 species